rnacentral:rRNA from 1 species
GACGAACGCUGGCGGCGUGCUUAACACAUGCAAGUCGAACGGAAAGGCCCUGCUUUUGUGGCGCGCUCGAGUGGCGAACGGGUGAGAAACACGUGAGUAACCCGUCCCUGACUGAGGGAUAACUCCAGGAAACUGGGGCUCAUACCGGAUAUGAUCUCUUGCUGCAUGGUGGUGGUUGGAAAGGUUCGGUGGUGGGGGAUGGACUCGCGGGUUACCGGCUUGUUGGUGGGGUAGUGGCUUACCAAGGCUUUGAGGGCUAGCCGGCCUGGGAGGGCGACCGGCGACAUUGGGACUAGGGUAGGCCCCAGACUCCAACGGGAGGCAACGGUGGGAAGUAUGACACAGUGGGCGGAAGCCUGUGACGAAAGCCCCGGGUGCGGAAUAACGGCUUUCGGGUGGAAAACCACUUUCGCAGGUGACAAGCCGGGAGUGACGGUACUUGGUAAAGAAGCACCGGCUAACUACGUG